rnacentral:rRNA from 1 species
AGAAUCAACGCUGGCGGCGUGCCUAACACAUGCAAGUCGCACGAGAAAGUGGAGCAAUCCAUGAGUAAAGUGGCGCACGGGUGAGUAACACGUGAAUUAUCUACCUCCGAGUGGGGAAUAACUGAGAGAAAUCUUAGCUAAUACCGCAUAACACUUACGAGUCAAAGCAGCAAUGCGCUUGGAGAGGAGUUCGCGGCCGAUUAGCUAGUUGGCGGGGUAAUGGCCCACCAAGGCAAUGAUCGGUA